rnacentral:tRNA from 1 species
GGCGCGUCGGUCCAGCGGCAUGGACACUGGCCUCUCAAGCCAGAGACACGGGUUCGAUCCCCGUACGCGCUA